rnacentral:rRNA from 1 species
UACAGAGGGUGCGAGCGUUAAUCGGAAUUACUGGGCGUAAAGCGCGCGUAGGCGGCUUUUCAAGUCGAUUGUGAAAUCCCCGGGCUUAACCUGGGAACUGCGUUUGAAACUACAAGGCUAGAGUGUAGCAGAGGGGGGUGGAAUUCCACGUGUAGCAGUGAAAUGCGUAGAGAUGUGGAGGAACACCGAUGGCGAAGGCAGCCCCCUGGGUUAACACUGACGCUCAGGCACGAAAGCGUGGGGAGCAAACAGG